CAUGAAUAUGUGGUUCAGGUCUACUUUUUUUUUUUUUUUCUAAAUGCAGUUUUAUUUUUAGAGGCAAUCAAAACUCUUCUGAGAAAUCCUUCGCAUUCAAGAAUUCAGGCCAGAACUGCAAGUUGAUUCAAGCUCCCUAUAGCUGUUGCCCAGCAAGUCCCUGCCCAGCUACUGUCUGGCUUUAUUUGAGGAGUUCGUGUCUGUGUUGAGGGAUCUCCUUGGAAAUCACCAGGAUGCUAAAGAUAGUCAAUAGCAUGUAAAUCAAGCCUAAAGCAAAUGUGCUUCUUCUUGCUGGUGAGGAAAUGAUCCAGUGAGGAGACAGAUCACCCAGCCCUGUAUUUGUCUCUGAAUUCAGAGACUACAGAAGCCAUUUGUCCACCAGAAGGAUGAAGAUGGCAGGCUGCAGACCGACAGUGCUUAAAGACGGCAGUUUCACUGUUUGACGUGUUUGGCCAAGCUCCAAACAAUCUACACUGUGAUGUCAUUGUGGUACCCCAGCAAAUGUCUGUGAUGUCUCAUGGCAUGGAGGUUUCAGGCCUCAGCUAUGCAUUUGUGGAGCUACUUGGAGAAUGAAGACAGGAAAAGAGAUGAACCAAACUUUUUUUUUUUCUUUUUUUUUUUUUCUUUUUGCCCCAAAGACCAGGGGGAGAGAGCUUUUUCUCCUGAGGACACAGUGUAUUGAUUCAAAGGAGCAGUAAGUUAAUUAACACGAGUAGUGAAGCCUCCUGCAUAAUUAACAAGACAUUUACCUAAAAUCAAUAAUCUAAUUGCCACACCUACCGUACAUGGGGGACAGUGUUUAUCCUAUUGAGAAAGACUCAUUUAUAUCUGUGUGUUAACAUGGUGAUUCGUGGUUUGUUUAAGAGCCUAACCUGAUCUGUAAAGUGAUAAUUUAUUGAACGAUCAAUUAAACUUUUUAACCUUGCAAAUAUAAACAGGUAAUGAAUAGCCAAAAACCUAUUUCCAUAUGAAAGUUCACACAUUGCAGGGAUUUUCAUGUAGUUCAGAUUAUUUUUCAUCAGUCCACUCUGGGACUUAGCAGAGAAGAAUGAGGAAUUAUUUCUCUUUGAGAGGCAUUCAGCAGCCUUCCUGGAUUUUGGUCCUGCAUUUAUAUUCCUUAAUUUCAGGCUAGCAUUGAAGUGCUCUGCCAGCCCCCUUCUCCCUGACAGUUGAAAAGCAGGGCCUGGUGAUUAUUUUUUCCAUUUUUUGUUUUCUGGGGAUAACAAAUUGUGUCAGAAAGGAAACGUGACCUCCAAACCACCUGAAGACCUGAAGCUGGGCAGAAAUAUGAUGACCCAAAACAACCACAGUAUUGCUCUAAUUUCGCUGAAAGAAGAGCCCAUCAGACCAGAACACUGUAGCUGCACCAUCGUCGUUUUUUUUUUGUCUCACCACCCUGUGAUAAGGAGAAGGAAGAGAGGAAAGUGAGAGUAAGAGGAUGAGGUUUAUGCUAUCAGAACAUUGCUUUGCUUUGAGAAUGACAGCUGGCAUCCCUAUCAGAAAGGUUGGGUCCACUGAAAGCUGCUAAAAUCUGGAGCUUGAAAUUGUUUAGACUCCUUUAAAAAGUCCUGUCUUUCAUCUUACAAGUGUAAAAUUGGACUUGAAGAUAUCCCAAGAACUAAUUUUCUCCUGAGUUUUCAAGUAUAUGUCCCAGCUUGUGCUAAAAUGGCAUGGGGCCCAGCACGGAGGUGUCAGAUUGUUUUAAAUGAUAUCUUUCAUUUUGGCAUGUUGAUGUUUUCUAGUCUCACCCAGAAUUUUGAUGGUGUGGAGAAACAGAAGACGAAAUAAAAAAUGAAUGCAAUGGUUUUCA
rnacentral:lncRNA from 1 species